UACGGGAGGGGCGAGCGUUAUCCGGCGUAACUGGGCGUAAAGAGUUCGUAGACUGUAAAAUAAGUUAUUUGUUAAAUUUUAAAGCCUAACUUUAUAUUAGCUUUUAAUACUAUUUUACUAGAGUUUUAUACAGAAGAGUAGAAUUUUAUAUGUAAGGGUGAAAUCUAUUAAUAUAUGAAGGAAUACUAGUAGCGAAGGCGACUCUUUGGUAAAAACUGACGUCGAGGAACGAAAGUGUGGGUAGCAAACAGG
rnacentral:rRNA from 1 species